rnacentral:rRNA from 1 species
UGGGGAAUAUUGGACAAUGGGCGCAAGCCUGAUCCAGCCAUGCCGCGUGAGUGACGAAGGUCUUCGGAUUGUAAAGCUCUUUUGGCGGGGACGAUAAUGACGGUACCCGCAGAAUAAGCCCCGGCUAACUUCGUGCCAGCAGCCGCGGUAAUACGAAGGGGGCUAGCGUUGUUCGGAAUCACUGGGCGUAAAGCGCACGUAGGCGGAUUUGUUAGUCAGGGGUGAAAUCCCGGGGCUCAACCUCGGAACUGCCUCUGAUACUGCAAAUCUCGAGUCCGAUAGAGGUGAGUGGAAUUCCUAGUGUAGAGGUGAAAUUCGUAGAUAUUAGGAAGAACACCAGUGGCGAAGGCGGCUCACUGGAUCGGUACUGACGCUGAGGUGCGAAAGCGUGGGGAGCAAACAGGAUUAGAUACCCCCGUAGUCCCUGAGCGGGCUGGCAAGGCGCAU